GAAGGUAUAGCUCAACUGGUAGAGCGUAUGCUUAACAUACUUCGGGGUCCUGGGUUCAAUGCCCAGUACCUCCU
rnacentral:tRNA from 1 species